rnacentral:rRNA from 1 species
UACGGAGGGUGCAAGCGUUGUUCGGAAUUACUGGGCGUAAAGGGCUCGUAGGCGGCCAACUAAGUCCGACGUGAAAUCCCAAGGCUUAACCUUGGAACUGCGUCGGAUACUGGAUGGCUUGAAUUCGGGAGAGGGAUGCAGAAUUCCAGGUGUAGCGGUGAAAUGCGUAGAUAUCUGGAGGAAUACCGGUGGCGAAGGCGGCAUCCUGGACCGACAUUGACGCUGAUGAGCGAAAGCUAGGGGAGCAAACGGG